rnacentral:rRNA from 2 species
GGACUACAAGGGUAUCUAAUCCCGUUUGCUCCCCUGGCUUUCGUGCCUGAGCGUCAGGAACUGUCCAGAGACCCGCCUUCGCCACCGGUGUUCUGGUCGAUCUCUACGCAUUUCACCGCUACACCGACCAUUCCAGUCUCCUCUCCAGUCCUCGAGCAUGCCAGUUUCGAAUGACCGCUCACAGUUAGGCUGUGAGAUUUCACAUCCGACUUAACACACCGCCUGCGCACCCUUUACGCCCAAUGAAUCCGAACAACGCUUGCAGUCUCUGUAUUACCGCGGCUGCUGGCAC